UGAGGGCAUAUUGAAGCAUCUUCGUGUGUGGAAAGUUCAGAGCGAGUCAAGUAUUUAAGUUUCCACCAGUCUCCCCCUGCCGCCAUGUCUGGCUCUGCUUUCAGUGUGCUGAGUGUGCUAUAAUCUGCUAAAACCUGCUGCCAUACACUGCGCUCUGGCAAUCCUUUCUACUGCUGGCCAGGAUCCAUGCCAAGUCUACCUCAUUAAAAUGAAGCAUAUGCAGAUCUGCCUUGUUGAAGCUAAUGGUGACAUUUAAUUGCUGUGUCUGGUCUUCAGUGAUUGGUGAACGUGCGAUAUUUCUUAA